AGUGAACGCUGGCGGUAGGCCUAACACAUGCAAGUCGAACGGCAGCACAGUAAGAGCUUGCUCUUACGGGUGGCGAGUGGCGGACGGGUGAGGAAUACAUCGGAAUCUACUUUUUCGUGGGGGAUAACGUAGGGAAACUUACGCUAAUACCGCAUACGACCUACGGGUGAAAGCAGGGGAUCUUCGGACCUUGCGUGAUUGAAUGAGCCGAUGUCGGAUUAGCUAGUUGGCGGGGUAAAGGCCCACCAAGGCGACGAUCCGUAGCUGGUCUGAGAGGAUGAUCAGCCACACUGGAACUGAGACACGGUCCAGACUCCUACGGGAGGCAGCAGUGGGGAAUAUUGGACAAUGGGCGCAAGCCUGAUCCAGCCAUACCGCGUGGGUGAAGAAGGCCUUCGGGUUGUAAAGCCCUUUUGUUGGGAAAGAAAAGCAGCAGGUUAAUACCCCGCUGUUCUGACGGUACCCAAAGAAUAAGCACCGGCUAACUUCGU
rnacentral:rRNA from 1 species